GCUGAGACUACAGGCGCCGGCCACCACGCCCAGCUAAUUUUUUGUAUUUUUAGUAGAGACAGGCUUUCACCGUGUUAGCCAGGACGGUCUCGAUCUCCUGACCUCGUGAUCUGCCUGCCUCGGCCUCCCAAAGUGCUGGGAUUACAGGCGUGAGCCACUGAGCCCGGCAGGGCAAUUCAGAGAUUUUUUGCAAUACUGCUGCUUGGCCAUACAGGUUUAAAGAACUUUGUCUUCUUAGAGGAUUCAUUCAUCAUGACAAAGGAUCAAGGACCCCCUUAAUAAUCUUUGGUAUGGCUCAACAUUGGCUUAUCCUGCAUGCCAACAUUGGAAUGAUCAAGAUGAGACAAUCAUGGCUCAAGAAAAGUUAGAUAGCUUGUCAAGUUCCGCACAGCUAAGAGGGCUACCACAAGAAUGCCACUGUGGCUUAAACAUUAGAAAUCUAUUUUCUUGCAGUUGUGGAGGCUGGAAGUCCAAGAGGUUCCAAUAGGGUUGGUUUCU